UGUGGCUCAGUGGUAGAGCACUUGCCUAGCAUGUGUGAGGCACUGGGUUAGAAUCUCAGCA
rnacentral:tRNA from 1 species